GACCAAGAUGGAGCUGUCACAGUGCACCAAGAUCUGACAACACAUGCCACUGCCUUUGUUAUCAAUGCCCGAUCCAAGCAUCGUCUGUCACAGAAAGGCAUGAAUGACAUUGUUGCUGGGGUACAGCAGUAUCAAUCAUCACUAUUGGACAACCUCAGGACGCAGAUGAAGGAAGUUCUAAAGAAGAAUUCAGGAAGUACAACCAAUCAACUUGAAGAAGAUGCAAUGGAUAUAUUUGACAGUUUCAUUGACCCCUUUGCUAAUGUUUCAACAACAUUUCGCCAGAACAGUGUUAUUAGGAAGCAGUUUUGUUGUGUGGAUGCAGAGGAAAUUCCAAUUGCUCGAACCAUAUGCAGGAAGAAACGUGGAGGAUCA